GAUGAACGCUAGCGGCAGGCUUAAUACAUGCAAGUCGAGGGGCAGCAUGUCCCGCAGCAAUGCGGGAUGAUGGCGACCGGCAAACGGGUGCGGAACACGUACACAACCUCCCUUUAAGCGGGGAAUAGCCCGGUGAAACCCGGAUUAAUACCCCAUAGUAUAUUGAAAAGGCAUCUUUUUAAUAUUAAAGAUUUAUCACUUGAAGAUGGGUGUGCGGCUGAUUAGGUAGUUGGCGGGGUAACGGCCCACCAAGCCUGCGAUCAGUAACUGGUGUGAGAGCACGACCAGUCACACGGGCACUGAGACACGGGCCCGACUCCUACAGGAGGCAGCAGUAAGGAAUAUUGGUCAAUGGACGAAAGUCUGAACCAGCCAUGCCGCGUGGAGGAUGAAGGUCCUCUGGAUUGUAAACUUCUUUUAUAUGGGACGAAAAAAGGGUUUUCUAACUCGUCUGACGGUACCAUAUGAAUAAGCUCCGGCUAACUCCGUGCCAGCCGCCGCCGUAACAC
rnacentral:rRNA from 1 species